rnacentral:lncRNA from 1 species
GCUGGAAGGAAGGGGGGGGGCUGACGAGCAGGCCCCGCUUGUCAGCGACCGCGCGGAGAGGAGGCGGAGUGCGCAGCGUCCGUGCGGGCCGAGCCGAAGCGGGCCGGCCUGCGGGCCGAAAUCCGGCCACCCGCUGCAGUGUCUUUUCUUUUUUUUCUUUUAUGCAGUUUUUGUUUUAUAUUUGAAUUUGUGUAAUAAAUUGUGUGAUGAUCCAAAAAUAAUGAGAAUUUUUGUAUAAACUCUCUGAAAUAUGUAGGAUCCAAGAAAAAUACUAGGUUCUGAUUUCUAAUAGUUUGCAAGGAUACAAAAAUUGGCCCUUUUAAUUAGCAAAUAAAACUUGUAUGAUUUUUAAUAGUUUAACUGUAUAUCCAAAAAUCACCAAAAAUUUUGGGGAGCCUCUGAAUAUUAUUCCCUGGCUCCACCUAAAAUUUGGUGGCAUUUGGAUAAGGUUUAGUUAAAAUAUUAAUAAACCCUUAUUUAAUAUUUAACUAAUCUUUCCAAAAUAAUUAAAUAGUGAUUAUUUAGAUCCUCAUAAUUAGGGUUGAGUGAUUUUGGAUUGUGUAAUGACCUGAGGUCAUUAACCCUAAUGACCUUUGGCAUUUAAUUGUUGUUUAGCCCUAAUGCUUAAUUACUGUCAUUAGUAAUUAAUUAAGAGUUAAUUAAGGUAAUUAGGAUUAAUAAUUAACUAAUUUAAGAUAAGUAUAAAUUAAAUAAAGUUUUAGUUUACAGAUACAAUCUCUUGGGAUAAAGACAUUAAGUUAUUAAGCAACUUUAUUUAGUGACAAUUCUGUAUUGCAUUAAAAAGGCAAAUCGUACUUAAUUCGGUCCAUCUUGCAUAAUUGCCAUACGCAUAUCAUAAGCAUUCAUCAUCUUGCGUAUAGCGUCCGUGACCGAAGGAGCGCCCGUUGAACCGAACCCCGAGGUCGGUGCUCCGUUCGAGGAAGUCGGAUCCGAGACUUGGGAAGUCUCCGAGGGUCCCUCUCUGCCCUGCAACCAAGGCAAGCCCCGGAUGCAUUAACCCCUCCUUGGAUGUUUUAAAUCUUUUGUCACUUAUGAAUUGAAAAUGCUGCAUUAGGUAGUUGAGAAUUGGGUUAACCUACUUGCUGCAUUUACUACCUUGAUAUCUGU